CACGAGGGCCCAGGUUAGAACAGCAAGGGCAGGUAGAGAAGUCACCAAAGGACACUGACCAGAUCUGUCCCAUGAUCAAUCUGGGUUGUCCCUGUGUGAGCCCCUUGAACCAACAGAUUGUGGCAGAGUGACAUUGCACCAGUCUGAGACCUACACCUUAAGGAUGCCUGGCAGCUCCUGCUUUUGUGUUCCUCGGAGUCAUGAGCCACGAAGUCAAGCUACCCUGCUGGAGAGACCAGCUGAAGAAGCCUCUUGAAGAGGACCUGAGACUUAAGGCUCAGCCAUCCCAGACUGUGAGUUAAACCUCCAGAUGAGUCCAACCCCACCUGCUGACUACAGCUACAUAGACGACAAACCACCUAGGUGAUUCCAGUCAACCCACACAACUGUAAAAGAUAAUAAAAGUUGUUUAAGUCA
rnacentral:antisense_RNA from 1 species